AUGGUGUUCAUUGACUUGGAGAAGGCCUAUGAUAAGAUACCGCGGAAUGUCAUGUGGUGGGCCUUGGAGAAACACAAAGUCCCAGCAAAGUACAUUACCCUCAUCAAGGACAUGUACGAUAAUGUUGUGACAAGUGUUCGAACAAGUGAUGUCGACACCGAUGACUUCCCGAUUAAGAUAGGACUGCAUCAAGGGUCAGCUUUGAGCCCUUAUCUUUUUGCAUUGGUGAUGGAUGAGGUCACAAGGGAUAUACAAGGAGAUAUCCCAUGGUGUAUGCUCUUUGCGGAUGAUGUGGUGCUAGUUGACGAUAGUCGGACGGGGGUAAAUAGGAAGUUAGAGUUAUGGAGACAAACCUUGGAAUCGAAAGGGUUUAGGCUUAGUAGAACUAAAACCGAGUACAUGAUGUGCGGUUUCAGUACUACUAGGUGUGAGGAGGAGGAGGUUAGCCUUGAUGGCCAGGUGGUACCUCGGAAGGACACCUUUCGGUAUUUGGGGUCAAUGUUGCAGGAGGAUGGGGGUAUUGAUGAAGAUGCGAACCAUCGAAUCAAAGCCGGAUGGAUGAAGUGGCGCCAAGCUUCUGGCAUUCUCUGUGACAAGAGAGUGCCACAAAAGCUAAAAGGCAAAUUCUACAGGACGGUGGUUCGACCCGCAAUGUUGUAUGGCGCGGAGUGUUGGCCAACUAAAAGGCGACAUGUUCAACAGUUAGGUGUGGCGGAGAUGCGUAUGUUGAGAUGGAUGUGUGGCCACACGAGGAAGGAUCGAGUCCGGAAUGAUGAUAUACGAGAUAGAGUUGGGGUAGCACCAAUUGAGGAGAAGCUUGUCCAACAUCGUCUGAGAUGGUUUGGGCAUAUUCAGCGCAGGCCUCCAGAAGCUCCAGUGCAUAGCGGACGGCUAAAGCGUGCGGAGAAUGUCAAGAGAGGGCGGGGUAGACCGAAUUUGACAUGGGAGGAGUCCGUUAAGAGAGACCUGAAGGAUUGGAGUAUCACCAAAGAGCUAGCUAUGGACAGGGGUGCGUGGAAGCUUGCUAUCCAUGUGCCAGAGCCAUGA
rnacentral:rRNA from 1 species